rnacentral:rRNA from 1 species
GAGAAUAUUUAGCAAUGGACGAAAGUCUGACUAUGCGACGCCGCGUGAGGGAUGAAGGAUUUCGGUUCGUAAACCUCUUUCGAUAGGGAAGAAACUCCCUGCUCGUAAGGGCAGGUGCUGACGGUACCUAGAGAAGAAGCCAUGGCCAACUCCGUGCCAGCAGCCGCGGUAAUACGGGGAUGGCGAGCGUUACUCGGAUUUACUGGGUGUAAAGGGCAGGUAGGCGGUUUUGCAAGUUGAAGGUUAAAUCCUCUGACUCAAUCAGAGAACUGCCUUCAAAACUACAUUACUUGAGGACUGGAGAGGAGAGCGGAAUUCCCGGUGUAAGGGUGAAAUCUGUAGAUAUCGGGAGGAACACCCGUGGCGAAAGCGGCUCUCUGGCCAGUAUCUGACGCUGAGCUGCGAAAGCUAGGGGAGCAAACA